rnacentral:rRNA from 1 species
GACGAACGCUGGCGGCGUGCCUAAUACAUGCAAGUUGAGCGCUGAAGGUUGGUACUUGUACCAACUGGAUGAGCAGCGAACGGGUGAGUAACGCGUGGGGAAUCUGCCUUUGAGCGGGGGACAACAUUUGGAAACGAAUGCUAAUACCGCAUAAAAACUUUAAACACAAGUUUUAAGUUUGAAAGAUGCAAUUGCAUCACUCAAAGAUGAUCCCGCGUUGUAUUAGCUAGUUGGUGAGGUAAAGGCUCACCAAGGCGAUGAUACAUAGCCGACCUGAGAGGGUGAUCGGCCACAUUGGGACUGCGACACGGCCCAAACUCCUACGGGAGGCAGCAGUAGGGAAUCUUCGGCAAUGGACGGAAGUCUGACCGAGCAACGCCGCGUGAGUGAAGAAGGUUUUCGGAUCGUAAAACUCUGUUGGUAGGGAAGAACGUUGGUGAGAGUGGAAAGCUCAUCAAGUGACGGUAACUACCCAGAAAGGGACGGCUAACUACGUG